UAGGGAAUUUUCGUCAAUGGGCGCAAGCCUGAACGAGCGAUGCCGCGUGAGUGAAGAAGGCCUUCGGUCGUAAAGCUCUGUUGCGGGGGAAAAAAGGACAGCAUCAGGAAAAUGGGUGCUGACUGAUGGUGCCCCGCCAGAAAGUCACGGCUAACUACGUGCC
rnacentral:rRNA from 1 species